GGUCUCGUGUCCCCUUGUUAAGGACGAAAACAUCGGAAGAAAACAGGAAACUGGAUCGAAUCAAACCUCGGCGCACGGAAAUCAUCGACUAGUCUCGCAUCCUAGCGCUCUCUCUCUCUCUCUCUCUCUCUCUCUCUCUCUCGCUACGCAAUAGCAAACAUCCUUGAAAUAGAUAUAAGAUAGAUGGUGUCUAGAAAGAGUGCGCCUCGGAUGAUGGUAGAAGCCCCGGAAAUGGUGGUGAGAAAGAGACAGUCGAAUGGGAUAGGGAGAUGAGACUAUAUUAGAGAGUCACUCAGAAGACAAG
rnacentral:lncRNA from 1 species